rnacentral:rRNA from 1 species
GGAUGAAGGCCUUCGGGUCGUAAACUGCGGUAGUUAGGGAAGAAUAUGGCGCAAGUCAUUAUGACCGUACCUAACGGAAAGAGGUGGGUAACUACGUGCCAGCACCAGCGGUAAUACGUAGACCUCAAGCGUUAUCCGGAUUUAUUGGGCGUAAAGCGUGUGUAGGAGGUUUGGUGCGUCUCUACUUAAAGCCCAUCGCCUAACGAUGGAUCUGGUAGAGAUACGAUCAAACUGGAGGGGAUUAGAGGUGAGCGGAGCGCACGGUGUAGGGGUGAAAUCCGUUGAUAUCGUGCGAAACACCAAAGGCGAAGGCAGCUCACUGGGAUCUUCCUGACUCUGAGACACGAAAGCGUGGGGAGCAAAAAGGAUUAGAUACCCCCGUAGUCC